CUUUUGUAUAAUGGGUCAGCGACUUAUAUUCUGUAGCAAGGUUAACCGAAUAGGGGAGCCGGAGGGAAACCGAGUCUUAAUUGGGCGUUAAGUUGCAGGGUAUAGACCCGAAACCCGGUGAUCUAGCCAUGGGCAGGUUGAAGGUUGGGUAACACUAACUGGAGGACCGAACCGACUAAUGUUGAAAAAUUAGCGGAUGACCUGUGGCUGGGGGUGAAAGGCCAAUCAAACCGGGAGAUAGCUGGUUCUCCCCGAAAGCUAUUUAGGUAGCGCCUCGUGAAUUCAUCUCCGGGGGUAGAGCACUGUUUCGGCUAGGGGGCCAUCCCGGCUUACCAACCCGAUGCAAACUGCGAAUACCGGAGAAUGUUAUCACGGGAGACACACGGCGGGUGCUAACGUCCGUCGUGAAGAGGGAAACAACCCAGACCGCCAGCUAAGGUCCCAAAGUCAUGGUUAAGUGGGAAACGAUGUGGGAAGGCCCAGACAGCCAGGAUGUUGGCUUAGAAGCAGCCAUCAUUUAAAGAAAGCGUAAUAGCUCACUGGUCGAGUCGGCCUGCGCGGAAGAUGUAACGGGGCUAAACCAUGCACCGAAGCUGCGGCAGCGACACUGUG
rnacentral:rRNA from 1 species